UCAACAACAGGAGAAAACUUUGUAAAAAAAUCCUUCCUUUCUUCUUAUCGGGAUCGGGACUAACUAGAAUGGUUGGGACAACAAACAUCCAUCUCGUUCGUAUUUUGGAUACCCAUAUAACCAUCGAUGACUGUUGAAGUGACUAAUUCCGGGAAAUUAAGCGGCGUUGAGGACAAAGAAAUUGUUGAAGUUACUAUUUAUCCAGUAAUAACUUACUAAAUGUUAAUAAAAGAUCCUUUACAGAAAGGUUGGCUAGAGACUUCGUGUAAAAACACUAGUCCCGCUCAGUUGAUAAUGAGAAUAUUGCAAUCUUUUUUGAUUCCAUGGAUGUUUAUCAUUAUCCACAUAAAGGAGGAGCCGUAUGAGAUGACAAUCUCACGUACGGUUCCGGAACGGAGAUUCUUUGAACCGAGUGACGACCGUAACGGAUGUCGGCUCAAUCGGAAGGAAAUUAUGCGGAAGCUUUACAGAAUUAUUAUGAGGCUAUGCGACUGGAAAUUGAUCCCUAUGAUCGAAAGUUAAUAAAAGAUCCUUUACAGAAAGGUUGGCUAGAGAUUUCGUGUAAAAACACUAGUCCCGCUCAGUUGAUAAUGAGAAUAUUGCAAUCUUUUUUGAUUCCAUGGAUGUUUAUCAUUAUCCACAUAGAGGAGGAGCCGUAUGAGAUGACAAUCUCACGUACGGUUCUGGAACGGAGAUUCUUUGAACCGAGUGACGACCGUAACGGAUGUCGGCUCAAUCGGAAGGAAAUUAUGCGGAAGCUUUACAGAAUUAUUGUGAGGCUAUGCGACUGGAAAUUGAUCCCUAUGAUCGAAGUUAUAUACUUUAUAACAUAGGCCUUAUCCACACAAGUAACGGAGAACAUACAAAAGCUUUGGAAUACUAUUUUCGGGCACUCGAACGAAGCCCUUUCUUACCUCAAGCUUUUAACAAUAUGGCCGUGAUCUGUCAUUACGUGCGACUAUCUCCACUAUAGAAAGAAAAAAGAAAAGAACCUCCACUAAUAGUAAUAAAUACUAGACAAAAAAAAUAGAAUUACAGAAUUAUUAUGAGGCUAUGCGACUGGAAAUUGAUCCCUAUGAUCGAAGUUAUAUACUUUAUAACAUAGGCCUUAUCCACACAAGUAACGGAGAACAUACAAAAGCUUUGGAAUACUAUUUUCGGACACUCGAACGAAACCCUUUCUUACCUCAAGCUUUUAACAAUAUGGCCGUGAUCUGUCAUUACGUGCGACUAUCUCCACUAUAGAAAGAAAAAAGAAAAGAACCUCCACUAAUAGUAAUAAAUACUAGACAAAGAAAAUAGAAAUAGGCUUUCUACAUAGAUAUCGUUCGAAACAACGAUUUUUAUGAGCUGUAUGAAAGAAACUUCAUAGAAGUAAAAAUAUGAAGAAAUAGAAUAUAUAUGCCUAGAUACUUUUUUCUAUGAAUAAAAGAUCUAAUUGAUAGAGGAAGCACCGUAAAGAUCAAUUAACAAGGUUUUUGGCCGAUACAACAAGAACUGCUUACUUAUAUGAUGAUAGAUUAGAAAUCAACUUAUGUAAUAAAGUUGAUCCCAU
rnacentral:lncRNA from 1 species